UACGGAGGGGGCUAGCGUUGUCCGAAGUUACUGGGCGUAAAGCGCGCGUAGGCGGGUUGGUAAGUCCGCUGUGAAAGCCCGGAGCUUAACUCCGGAGGGUCGGUGGAUACUGCCAGUCUUGAAGGUGCUAGGGGGGAGAUGGAAUUACCCGGUGUAGCGGUGAAAUGCGUAGAUAUCGGUAGGAACACCAGUGGCGAAGGCGGUCUCCUGGGGGCAUUCUUGACGUGAGGCGCGAAAAGCUGGGGGGGAGCAAAACGGGG
rnacentral:rRNA from 1 species